UACAGAGGUCUCAAGCGUUGUUCGGAUUCAUUGGGCGUAAAGGGUGCGUAGGUGGCGAGGUAAGUCGGAUGUGAAAUCUCAGGGCUCAACCCUGAAACUGCAUUCGAUACUGCCUUGCUUGAGGACUGGAGAGGAGAUUGGAAUUCACGGUGUAGCAGUGAAAUGCGUAGAUAUCGUGAGGAAGACCAGUGGCGAAGGCGGAUCUCUGGACAGUUCCUGACACUGAGGCACGAAGGCCAGGGGAGCAAACGGG
rnacentral:rRNA from 1 species